GACAGAGGGUGCAAACGUUGUUCGGAAUUACUGGGCGUAAAGCGCGUGUAGGCGGCCCUGCAAGUCGGAUGUGAAAUCCCACGGCUCAACCGUGGAAGUGCAUUCGAAACUGCAGGGCUAGAGUCCUGGAGAGGAAGGUGGAAUGCUUGGUGUAGAGGUGAAAUUCGUAGAUAUCAAGCGGAACACCGGUGGCGAAGGCGGCCUUCUGGACAGUGACUGACGCUGAGGCGCGACAGCGUGGGGAGCAAACAGG
rnacentral:rRNA from 1 species